AACUUCUUAAAUGCUGCUUCUUAAUUUCGAUAUAUAAUGUGUACCACUUGUCUCUUGCCUGUUUGUAUCUCAUCGUCCCAGAUUCAUCACCACAUAAUGUGGCCCCUGUGGAAGCUUAGGGAGACACUGUCCUCGAUGAAGCUCUGACUUGCCCGGGGAAGUAUAUCCACUGCCCCUCCAGAGUCUUCUCCUGAUGUAAUGCACAGGGCAUGGAGAAGGAGAUGACGUGGCCGGAGUUCCAGCAGUCGGACUUCUAUGAUGCUGAAAGGGACAGAUGGAUUGCAGACAAAAGGAAGCCCUAACCUACCCUCACAUACACACAUGCACGCGCCACUUCCUGGGUCUACUAAGUUUCAUACUAAUAACAUAUAAACUAAGACGUUUUGCCUGCAACAAAAAUGAGACCCCUAAACUAUCAGCCUUUUCACCGUCCUGACAUUCCUGCCAAGAACAAAACAGUUUUGGUUAAUGCCCUCAAAAAACUCAAUUCAUAAUAAAGAAUAAUAAUCAUUUCAGGGAUUUCUAUAGGUCCUCCACUCCAACCUUGUCGGUGCUGGGGCCUUAAACAUGUGAUUUAUUUAAA